rnacentral:rRNA from 1 species
AGAGUUUGAUCAUGGCUCAGAUUGAACGCUGGCGGCAGGCCUAACACAUGCAAGUCGAACGGUAACAGGAAUCAGCUUGCUGAUUCGCUGACGAGUGGCGGACGGGUGAGUAAUGUCUGGGAAACUGCCUGAUGGAGGGGGAUAACUACUGGAAACGGUAGCUAAUACCGCAUAACGUCGCAAGACCAAAGAGGGGGACCUUCGGGCCUCUUGCCAUCGGAUGUGCCCAGAUGGGAUUAGCUAGUAGGUGGGGUAAAGGCUCACCUAGGCGACGAUCCCUAGCUGGUCUGAGAGGAUGACCAGCCACACUGGAACUGAGACACGGUCCAGACUCCUACGGGAGGCAGCAGUGGGGAAUAUUGCACAAUGGGCGCAAGCCUGAUGCAGCCAUGCCGCGUGUAUGAAGAAGGCCUUCGGGUUGUAAAGUACUUUCAGCGGGGAGGAAGGGAGUAAAGUUAAUACCUUUGCUCAUUGACGUUACCCGCAGAAGAAGCACCGGCUAACUCCGUGCCAGCAGCCGCGGUAAUACGGAGGGUGCAAGCGUUAAUCGGAAUUACUGGGCGUAAAGCGCACGCAGGCGGUUUGUUAAGUCAGAUGUGAAAUCCCCGGGCUCAACCUGGGAACUGCAUCUGAUACUGGCAAGCUUGAGUCUCGUAGAGGGGGGUAGAAUUCCAGGUGUAGCGGUGAAAUGCGUAGAGAUCUGGAGGAAUACCGGUGGCGAAGGCGGCCCCCUGGACGAAGACUGACGCUCAGGUGCGAAAGCGUGGGGAGCAAACAGGAUAGAUACCCUGGUAGUCCAC